rnacentral:tRNA from 1 species
UCCCUGGUGGUCCAGUGGUUAGGACUCUGAGCUUCUACUUCUGGGGGUACAGGUUCAAUCCCUGGUCAGGGUA